rnacentral:rRNA from 1 species
AGUGAACGCUGGCGGUAGGCCUAACACAUGCAAGUCGAACGGCAGCACAGUAAGAGCUUGCUCUUACGGGUGGCGAGUGGCGGACGGGUGAGGAAUACAUCGGAAUCUACUUUUUCGUGGGGGAUAACGUAGGGAAACUUACGCUAAUACCGCAUACGACCUACGGGUGAAAGCAGGGGAUCUUCGGACCUUGCGCGAUUGAAUGAGCCGAUGGCGGAUUAGCUAGUUGGCGGGGUAAAGGCCCACCAAGGCGACGAUCCGUAGCUGGUCUGAGAGGAUGAUCGGCCAAACUGGAACUGAGCAACGGUCCAGCCUCUUACGGGAGGAAGCAGUGGGGAAUUUUGGAAAAUGGGCGCAAGCCUGAUCCAGCCAUACCGGGGGGGUGAAGAAGGCCUUCGGGUUGUAAAGCCCUUUUGUUGGGAAAGAAAAGCAGCAGGUUAAUACCCCGCUGUUCUGACGGUACCCAAAGAAUAGGCACCGGCUAACUUCGU